GACGAACGCUGGCGGCGUGCUUAACACAUGCAAGUCGAACGAUGAAGCUGGAGCUCGCUCCGGUGGAUUAGCGGCGAACGGGUGAGUAACACGUGCGCAAUCUGCCCUUGACGCUGGGAUAACUGCGGGAAACUGUAGCUAAUACCGGAUAUUAGGCUCGAAGGCAUCUUCGGGUCUGGAAAGCAUUUCGGUCAAGGAUGAGCUCGCGGCCUAUCAGCUGGUUGGUGAGGUAAUGGCUCACCAAGGCGACGACGGGUAGCCGGCCUGAGAGGGUGACCGGCCACACUGGGACUGAGACACGGCCCAGACUCCUACGGGAGGCAGCAGUGGGGAAUAUUGCACAAUGGGCGAAAGCCUGAUGCAGCAACGCCGCGUGAGGGAUGAAGGCCUUCGGGUUGUAAAGCUCUUUCAUCGGUGAAGAUAAUGACGGUAACCGGAGAAGAAGCCCCGGCUAACUUCGUGCCAGCCGCCGCGGUAA
rnacentral:rRNA from 1 species